rnacentral:rRNA from 1 species
CCUACGGGUGGCUGCAGUGAGGAAUAUUGGUCAAUGGACGAGAGUCUGAACCAGCCAAGUAGCGUGAAGGAUGAAUGCUCUAUGGGUUGUAAACUUCAUUUAUAUGGGAAUAAAAUGUUCCACGUGUGGGAUUUUGUAUGUACCAUAUGAAUAAGGAUCGGCUAACUCCGUGCCAGAAGCCGCGGUAAUACGGAGGAGCCGAGCGUUAUCCGGAUUUAUUGGGUUUAAAGGGAGCGUAGAUGGAUUUUUAAGUCAGUUGUGAAAGUUUGCGGCUCAACCGUAAGAUUGCAGUUGAAACUGGCAUGCUAGAGUACAGUAGAGGUGGGCGGAAGUCGUGGUGUAGCGGUGAAAUGCUUAGAUAUCACGAAGAACUCCGAUUGCGAAGGCAGCUCGCUGGACUGCAACUGACACUGAGGCUCGAAAGUGUGGGUAGCAAACAGGAUUAGAUACCCGAGUAGUC